rnacentral:lncRNA from 1 species
CCCAGGCAACAGGAGUGAAAAUCAGCGAAGUUAGAAUCGACGCUGGUCGCCCGGGCGACAGCCCCGACGCCCGGGCGACGGACGCCCGAAGCUCAGGCGUCCAAAACUGGCGCCCAAGCCUCACAGAACCCUUAAUUCACGCUUGGGCGAGCUCCCUACAAUGCUUGAGCGUGAUUUCACGUGGAUAGGGCCUUGAUUCUGCUCUGAUUUGAUUCUUUCGAACCGGGCCGCACUUUGGGACGCGUCUGGCAUUAUUUAAAGGACCCUGGGGCUCUAGGUUUUGCAUCCCUAGUAGAGAAGAUCAUAAGAAUACACUCUUAGCCAAUUCUUAGUCUUUCAUUCUCUCUUUCUUUCUUCCAUUGUUCAUAG